CUUACACCAUGGUGCAUGUUUUGAAGCAAUUAUCGAAAGCCUGGCGAGUCUUAAGAUUUCAAGUCUCGGGCACAUUUUAAAACCGUGCAUUGGAUCACAUAACAAGAUAUGCAAGCAUGACAAGCUCGGAUGAAAACCUGGGCAAAAGUGCAGAACAUUAACAGUUCAAAAGAUAAAACCUUGAAUUCUCUCUCCAUAAUACUGUUGGUUGCUUUUCAUUUGCAGACUCGGAAGCCACCUAUAUUACCUCCAUUUUCUGCUAUAUUCAAAGAUGGUGCUGAUCCUGCGACAUCACUAUCUAAUUUUGUAACCUAUGGAAAAAGUAAUAAAGAAUAAUUGGUUGAGCUCUUUGUGACUCUGCUGAUCAAGUUAUCUUCUGUCCAAAAUAUGUGGCCCAAAGGUCUCUGUGUAAGCACAUAUGAAGGAUCUUGGACGUCCAAAACAUGGAAUUCUAAAGUUGCUUGUAUCAGUGUUGAGGAUUUCAGUGAUCCAUCUCAAAAUGUUGCUAGGGCAGUAGGACAUGCAGAAAUAAAACAUAUCUUUGAAUGUAUUAACCUUUCUACCCCGCAUGUCUUGUCCUUCAUGGAUGGCCAGAUUGGAGAAGUUGAAUUGAAGGAAUUUUUGUUUGGCCAUGAUGGCAUAACUAUCUAAUGUCAAACAGGUACUUCAAAUUCUCACCAAAUUGCAUCAUUGCGUAGCAUUCCCUCUCAAUUGAACCAGAGGAAAAGAAAUAGAAACGAGGAAGGUGAGGAAGCAAGAAAGCAAGCUCUGCCUCCAGACCCUAUCUGCACGAAGAGAAUAGCCUCCAUGCACGAUUUUGCAGAAAUGCCUUCAGGGAGUUGGAGACAAGUCGAGCGAGCUAUGCCAUUUGAAACUGGCUGGACGAAAAAGAUUCAGUCUACGGAAGGUUGGAGAGUGAUGUCUGAUGAUGUUUGGGAAGGUACAAAAUAUGCUAUGCCUUCUGAUCCUAGAAAUGGGCAGCAACUUAUGAGAGGUUGGGAUGGAACUCAGCACUCUGGUGCAGGGCUUUAGGGUAGGGUCCAUGCCAAAGGCUGGGUUGGAACUCGAGAACCUGUUUUAUGAUGUUGGGGUGGGGUCGAUGCUGAAGGCUGGGAAAGAACUCGGGAACAUGUUGUAGAAGGUCGGGAUCGGGUGGAUGCUGAAGGUUGGGGAAGAACUAGGUAACCAAUUGCAGGAGAUCGGGAUUGGGUGCAUGCCGAAAACUGGAGAGGUACUCAGCAACCCGUUGCAGGAGGUUGGGGUGAGGUGUGUGCGCCAAAGGCUAGGGCAGAACUCGGCAACCAGUUAUAGGAAGUUGGGGGUGGGAGCGUGAUGAAGGCAUGGGUGGAGCUCAACAACCUAUUACAGAAGGAUGGGGUGGAAGUAUUUCCUAUAAUCCCAUUCGAAUAAGAAAAUCGGACUACAGGGGCUUUUAAGGGAACAUACGAUUGAAAUUGCAAUCCCAAUCCUUUGCUUCUAGUUGCAGUCACCACCUUUGAUGUUCAGACUCUUAGAAAUGGUUGGAGUACCCGUGUCGGAUACGACACGACAUGGGUAUGGGUAUGAGAUAUAUAUUGGAUUCUCUAAGUUUCAAUCGGACACUUCGCCUUUUUUCCUUCUUUCUUUUUUCAUUUUUUUUUCUCUUUUCCUUUUCUACUCUCUAUAAACCUAGCGCCACCUUCAAGAAGGGGGAGAAAGGCGAUGGCGCUAGAUUUUCCCUUCUUCGUUCUUUUUUCUUUCCCUCUUCUUUUCUCCGUUUUUUUCCUUCUUUCCCUCUCUGUAUGGAUGUUUAGGAUUUUGUUUGUAUAAAAUGAAAAUGGGUUUCAUAUAAUACUACUUAGUACUCCACUAAAUUCAAAUUGCAAUCAAGUUUCUCAUUUUUAUUUUAUAUAACAUUUAGUAAUUAACUUCUUAUAAUUGAAAACUAAACCCCAAAAUUUUAUUUUAUUUGUCUUUACCCUUUACUUAAUACUGUUUUCUUGUUUGUGAACAAUUGAUUUUGGUCUAUUCAAAAUAACAUCUUGAGUUAGUAAAAAUAUUGAAGUUUCAAAGACGUACCCCACGUACCCGUGUCCAAAAUUUGGAUUCUUUUUAGCCAGUCUCUGUAUUUUACAUUUUAGAAAAUAAAAGAUUCGAUACUUAGAUACGUACUCAUACCCGAUACUUGUACUGGAGUCUGAGCAUCAUAAGUCAGCAUUCAGGUAUCCAAGUGUAUACUGGUUUAGUAAAAUUUUCAUGAUUUUGCUCCAAAUGUCAAGCCUCCUACAUUCUCUUAAUUGAAAGAUUGAUGAUGGAAACCUCCAAGUCGGUUAGAAAAAAUCACUUGGCUUUAAAUCAUGUGUGAAUGUGUGGAAAAUAAAAGUUUUGACUGGUGAUUAAUUGCUUAGAAAGGGGCACCUGCAAGAUAUGCGUAGAAAUGUAGUCUCUUAACCUCAUCCUUAUUGGUUUACUAUCCUAUGAGGGCCAUGUUUUCGUUGUUCAUCGUUCAUCAUCUUAUUCUUGUAUGGUCACUUUGAAUGAAUUGAACCAUCUUUGUAUCACCUGGAAUUAGCCAAGAAUGUCUUUUGCGCUUUGCAAAAGUGGGCUCCUGUGUUAAUGUUUUAGAGAUGGGGAUACAACCUAUCUUUAUGAUGGGCGUGUAGUUAAAUUUACACGUUGAUAGUCGGGAUUUGGUAUACUUUUCUUGGGGUUAUGCACAUUUAUACACUGCAACCUGUAUGUAAAGCUCUAUACAGAGAAAUUCUACCAUCAGAAAUGAAGAAUGGACGGAAAAAAUUGCAAAUUUGUUAUUAUUUGAUAACUUUUGAAAGUUUUGUUGAUUGUUA